UUUAAUUUUUAUUUUUACUGCUUUUGUUUGUUUGUUUGACACUCUUUCUCUGUCACCCAGGCUGGAGUGCAAUGGCGCGAUCUUGGCUCGCUGUAAUCUCUACCUCCCAGGUUCAAGUGAUUCUCCUGCCUCAGCCUCCAGAGUAGCUGGGGGUACAGUCACAUGCCACCAUGCCAUGCCCAGGCUCAUUCUGAGGAUUAACUGAGCUAAUGCACGUAAUAGAUAUUAGCGAGAUGUAAAGUGCUCUUAUACACUCUCAGAGUAUCCUGUACUCCUGCCCUGCAGUUCCCACGCCUUCUCCUGUUUUCAUCCUCACCAAUGAGAAUUCAGCUAAUUGUUUACUCUGGGCCCGUGCCUGUCACCGACUAACCCAGGAGGCCCCUCAGAGCUGAGCCCUGCCCUUUGCCUCAUUCUUUGUAACCAGAUGCCUGCCACACACAGUAGGUGCUUCAUAAAUGCUACUGGAAUGGGAAUAUUUCUGCAUCUCUUCAGAGGGCUUGCUCAACCCCCACCCCAGCAGCAAGCCUCUUUUGACAAUGAAACCAACCCAACUCUCUCUGGUUAACCCUAAUGAACUAGCCCAGGACCUGCAGGGAGCCUCAGAGAGCAGUCAGUCUCCAAUGAGAUGACAGAUGGGACAACUGAGUCUCAGGGAAGGAGCGUGACUAGCCCAGGAUCACGCAGGGAGUUCAUAACUGAUUCGGGCCUGAAUCCCUGGUUCUGUACUUUCCCACGAGUGAUUCCCCUUCUGCAGAGCUAAGUCCUCAUCCUCCUUAGUGUGUGCCUAGCUUGGGCAUCCCUUUUCUCUGAGACUCAGUUCUAACUUCCAGGCAGGGUGAACAAUUGUCCUGCUUUUCCUGUGACUGCCCUGGUUUUAAUAUUGAAAGUCUGAAGCUCAGCACGGGAAGCUGGGAUGGUUGGCUAUCCUAUUUCCAGGUCAAAAAGAUGACUCCUCUUCGUGGGCUCCUGGACACAACCAAUGAUAAUGGCUGACAUUUACCAACCGCCACUACAGGUUAAGCACUGUUGUUUAAGCCCUUCACACAGACCUACUUAUUUAAUUCUCUUAAUAACACUUUGAGGUGGCUACUGUUGCCCCAUUUUACAGAUGAUAAAAGUGAGAAAGAAAGAAGUAAGAUACCACACCUAACUGGGAAGGGGAGAGGCAGGACUUGAACCUGAAUACUCAGGUCUCAGGGAGGAGCUCUUAGUCACUAGGCUACCCACUCGUCUCUUAGGAAAUGCCUGUUGUGGUUAGUAUAUAAGGCUGUCUCCGCAUGCGACCAAACUCAGUAGAGCAAAGUCCCAUAUGUCCUUAACGUCAGUGCCUGGCACAGUACCAGGUGUAUGAUAAACUCGAAGCAUAAUUUUGCUGACCAUAAGUCUGUGCCUGGCCUGCCCACCACUGGGCUGGCACCAUUCCUUUCCCUUAUCCCAUGCCCUGGGCCUCUCAUCUGCAGGGCCCCCUCCAAGCCAUCUUCCUUGCUCCUGUUUGGCAUCCUCUCGGCUCCUUAGCCCUGUAUUCCAGUGCCUUGAAAGAAACUGCUUUCUUGUGAGCCAACAAAGUUCAGAAGAAACCCAUGUACAUGUUCUGAGAGGUUCCAGACUGAGUCUUUGGCCUGAGGCCAC
rnacentral:lncRNA from 13 species